UAGAUAGAUGCUCGCUGGUUUGGGCGCUUAGCUGUUAACUAAGAAUUAAAAGGAUCGAGGCCUUUCUAUCUAG
rnacentral:tRNA from 1 species